rnacentral:rRNA from 1 species
GACGAACCGUGCGAACGUUGUUCGGAAUCACUGGGCUUAAAGGGCGCGUAGGCGGGCGACCAAGUCGGAGGUGAAAGCCUGCAGCUCAACUGCAGAAGUGCCCCCGAUACUGGCCGCCUCGAGGGAGGUAGGGGCGUGCGGAACUUCCGGUGGAGCGGUGAAAUGCGUAGAUAUCGGAAGGAACACCGGUGGCGAAAGCGGCGCGCUGGACCUCUUCUGACGCUGAGGCGCGAAAGCUAGGGGAGCAAACAGG